UGGGGAAUAUUGCACAAUGGGCGCAAGCCUGAUGCAGCCAUGCCGCGUGUGUGAAGAAGGCCUUCGGGUUGUAAAGCACUUUCAGCGAGGAGGAAGGUGGUGAGCUUAAUACGCUCAUCAAUUGACGUUACUCGCAGAAGAAGCACCGGCUAACUCCGUGCCAGCAGCCGCGGUAAUACGGAGGGUGCAAGCGUUAAUCGGAAUUACUGGGCGUAAAGCGCACGCAGGCGGUUUGUUAAGUCAGAUGUGAAAUCCCCGGGCUCAACCUGGGAACUGCAUUUGAAACUGGCAAGCUAGAGUCUCGUAGAGGGGGGUAGAAUUCCAGGUGUAGCGGUGAAAUGCGUAGAGAUCUGGAGGAAUACCGGUGGCGAAGGCGGCCCCCCUGGACGAAGACUGACGCUCAGGUGCGAAAGCGUGGGGAGCAAAACAGGAUUAGAUACCCUGGUAGUCCACGCUGUAAAACGAUGUCGAUUUGGAGGUUGUGCCCUUGAGGCGU
rnacentral:rRNA from 1 species